GACGAACGCUGGCGGCGUGCUUAACACAUGCAAGUCGAACGGAAAGGCCCUGCUUUUGUGGGGUGCUCGAGUGGCGAACGGGUGAGUAACACGUGAGUAACCUGCCCUUGACUUUGGGAUAACUUCAGGAAACUGGGGCUAAUACCGGAUAGGAGCUCCUGCUGCAUGGUGGGGGUUGGAAAGUUUCGGCGGUUGGGGAUGGACUCGCGGCUUAUCAGCUUGUUGGUGGGGUAGUGGCUUACCAAGGCUUUGACGGGUAGCCGGCCUGAGAGGGUGACCGGCCAAAUGGGAACUGGGUACCGCCCCGGAUUCUUCCGGGGGGCAGCGUUGGGGAUUAUUGCACAUGGGCGGAAGCCUGAUGCAGCAACGCCGCGUGCGGGAUGACGGCCUUCGGGUUGUAAACCGCUUUCGCCUGUGACGAAGCGUGAGUGACGGUAAUGGGUAAAGAAGCACCGGCUAACUACGUG
rnacentral:rRNA from 1 species